rnacentral:piRNA from 1 species
UGUACUGAGGAUCCGCUUCGUCAGCAUU